rnacentral:rRNA from 1 species
AGCAGCCGCGGUAAUUCCAGCUCCAAUAGCGUAUAUUAAAGUUGUUGCAGUUAAAGAGCUCGUAGUUGAAUUUCGGGAUCAAAUUGUUGGUCGUGCUUCGGUACGCACUGGCAUUAUUGGUUCCUACCUUCUGAAGAACCGCGAUGUCAUUAAUUUGGUGUCGUGGGGAAUCAGGACUGUUACUUUGAAAAAAUUAGAGUGUUUAAAGCAGGCUUACGCUUGAAUACAUUAGCAUGGAAUAAUGAAAUAGGACGUUUGAUUCUAUUUUGUUGGUUUCUAGGAUCGACGUAAUGAUUAAUAGGGAUAGUUGGGGGCAUUAGUAUUCAAUUGUCAGAGGUGAAAUUCUUGGAUUUAUUGAAGACUAACUACUGCGAAAGCAUUUGCCAAGGAUGUUUUCAUUAAUCAAGAACGAAAGUUAGGGGAUCGAAGACGAUCAGAUACCGUCGUAGUCUUAACCAUAAACUAUGCCGACUAGGGAUCGGAUGAUGUUAAUUUUUUAAUGACUC